rnacentral:rRNA from 1 species
GAUGAACGCUGGCGGCGUGCCUAAUACAUGCAAGUCGAGCGAACGGACGAGAGGCUUGCUUCUCUGAUGUUAGCGGCGGACGGGGGAGUAACACGUGGAUAACCUACCUAUAAGACUGGGAUAACUUCGGGAAACCGGAGCUAAUACCGGAUAAUAUUUUGAACCGCAUGGUUCAAAAGUGAAAGACGGUCUUGCUGUCACUUAUAGAUGGAUCCGCGCUGCAUUAGCUAGUUGGUAAGGUAACGGCUUACCAAGGCAACGAUGCAUAGCCGACCUGAGAGGGUGAUCGGCCACACUGGAACUGAGACACGGUCCAGACUCCUACGGGAGGCAGCAGUAGGGAAUCUUCCGCAAUGGGCGAAAGCCUGACGGAGCAACGCCGCGUGAGUGAUGAAGGUCUUCGGAUCGUAAAACUCUGUUAUUAGGGAAGAACAUAUGUGUAAGUAACUGUGCACAUCUUGACGGUACCUAAUCAGAAAGCCACGGCUAACUACGUG